rnacentral:rRNA from 1 species
UACGAGGGGGGCGAGCGUUGUCCGGAAUUAUUGGGCGUAAAGAGCUCGUAGGCGGUUUGUCGCGUCGAAUGUGAAAACCCGGGGCUCAACCCCGGGCCUGCAUUCGAUACGGGCAGACUAGAGUUCGGUAGGGGAGUCUGGAAUUCCUGGUGUAGCGGUGAAAUGCGCAGAUAUCAGGAGGAACACCGGUGGCGAAGGCGGGACUCUGGGCCGAUACUGACGCUGAGGAGCGAAAGCGUGGGGAGCAAACAGG